AAAAAAAAAAAGAGCAAACAUUAUUGAGAUUUUUUUUGAACAGGGGGUAGUGGGGGUGGGACUUGAACCUAUGUACGCCAGCAGUAUGCCUUCAUCACUUGAUUGCGAAUAAUUAAUCUGCUUUUUUUUAAAUAGGGGGAGUGGGAAGUGGGUUUUGAACCUGCAAAUGAAAUGCCUUAAGCCAACACUAUUACUGAGAAUAAUUAAUCUGUUUAAGAAUCCAAAAUUAUGACCAGAACCUAAAAAAGAGAGUAUAAACAAACAAAAAUAAUAAUUUAACUGGAAUCUGAGGGAAUCUAGGAG
rnacentral:misc_RNA from 1 species